GGCUGCGAUCAUACCAGCACUAAUGCAACGGAUCCCAUCAGAACUCCGCAGUUAAGCGUGCUUGGGCGAGAGUAGUACUAGGAUGGGUGACCCCCUGGGAAGUCCUCGUGUUGCAACGC
rnacentral:rRNA from 1 species